CCCUUAGAUGUCCUGGGCUGCACGCGCGCUACACUGAUGCGCUCAACGAGUUUACGAUCUUGCUUGAAAUGGCUGGGUAAUCUUUAAAUCCGCUCGUGAUGGGGAUUGACGGUUGCAAUUUUCUGUCAUGAACGAGGAAUACCUUGUAAGCGCGGGUCAUCAUCCCGCGCUGAAUACGUCCCUGCCCUUUGUACACACCGCCCGUCGCUCCUACCGAUUGAGUGGUCCGGUGAGGCUUUGGGAUCUGAGCGGAAAGAGCGUUUCGCUGUUUCUGCUCGGAAAACUCAGUCGAACCUUAUCAUUUAGAGGAAGGAGAAGUCGUAACA
rnacentral:rRNA from 1 species